AAACAAAAUACAAAAAUAAUCAGCACAGAAUCAACUGUGUGACCCCACGUAAUGUUCUUGGCUUUACAAAAAAAUCAUUUCAAAUGAAACAAGAAUCGAGUUAUCAAGUUUUUUCAAAGCUACAUAAGGAUAUAGUUUAGUACCAUACAACAUUACAUCUACAUGUCGACUGUAUGCAAUACAAUAUUUGAAAAGAUCAAUACAGAAGUAGACCAUGGAACCAAAAAAAAAGUUAUCUGGAAAAAAUAAUGUUUCCAAUGUUUCCAGAUAUGGCAUGCCUUGACAUGAGUCAGUGCUAGGACUCGAUACGUGCUACACUCGGAGUAUAUCUAGUAUAUAAUUAUACAUCGUAACAAAAUAAAUAAUGUGCAAUAUUAUGUGUCAACUUUUAUCGCUUGAGGUUUCUCAAAGCAUGCUCUACUAAUGUCCUCAGGGUGCCAGAGAUAUAAGGCACACAGUAGCGUAGCAAAGUAUAUAGGGAUCCGGGUUCAAGAAUAUGAUGGUCCCAUUGUUUGGGUGUAACAAAAAAACCAAAUCAAUUCACUGGUAACGUCAGUAACAUUAACGACAUUAAACGCAGGUGCUAGCUGCAACGUUAUGGCCAUUAGACAAGGUCCUCAGGGCUCGCACUGACCUUCCUUCAGAGAACAGUACCAGGAAAAAAGAAGAGGCAGAAAAAGAAAGCGAUGGGAAGACAACAUAAAAGAAUGGACGGGCCUGUUAUUGAAAAAGGUUGUAUCAAAGACAUUGAAAGAGGAAUGGAGAAAGAUGGUCGACAGAUCAUGUGUGGUGUCCGAGAGACUAAGGGACAGGCGAAGGGAAGGACUAACGUGUAAAUUUUUAUUGUUAUUUUACAUCCUAUAAAUUAGUUCCUUUAAACAAAGUAAUACUUGAUAUAAACAAUUAAUACUUAAUAUAAACAAUUAAUACUUAAUAUAAACAAUUAAUACUUAAUAUAAACAAUUAAUACUUGAUAUGAAUAAUUAAUACUUGAUAUAAACAAUUAAUACUUAAUAUAAACAAUUAAAACUUAAUAUAAACAAUUAAUACUUACUAUAAACAAUUAAUACUUAAUAUAAACAAUUAAUACUUAAUAUAAAUCAGAUACAUUUAAAUUCUUAUAGUUAUUGUUAAUCU